UCCUUGGUGGUCCAGUGGCUAAGACUCCAUGCUCCUAAAGCAGGGGCCUGGGUUUGAUUCCUGGUCAAGGAA
rnacentral:tRNA from 1 species